rnacentral:rRNA from 1 species
GAAGGCUAGGCUAGCGCAGCGUUGGUUGUCUGCGUUCAAGCUGGUAGGCUGGGGGAUUAGGUAAAUCCGGUCCCCUAAGGCCGAGAAGCGAUAACGAGUUCUUUCGAAAGAUCGAGCGAAGUAGUCGAUGCCAUGCUUCCAAGAAAAUCUUCUAAGCUUCAGCUGCAAUGUAAUCGUACCCCAAACCGACACAGGUGGUCAGGUAGAGAAUACCAAGGCGCUUGAGAGAACUCGGGUGAAGGAACUAGGCAAAAUGGUACCGUAACUUCGGGAGAAGGUACGCCGGUUUUGGUGAUGGGACUUGCUCCCUAAGCUGAGGCCGGCCGCAGUGACCAGGUGGCUGCAACUGUUUACUAAAAACAUAGCACUCUGCAAACACGUAAGUGGACGUAUAGGGUGUGACGCCUGCCCGGUGCCGGAAGGUUAAUUGAUGGGGUUAGCUUCGGCGAAGCUCUUGAUCGAAGCCCCGGUAAACGGCGGCCGUAACUAUAACGGUCCUAAGGUAGCGAAAUUCCUUGUCGGGUAAGUUCCGACCUGCACGAAUGGCGUAAUGAUGGCCACACUGUCUCCACCCGAGACUCAGUGAAAUUGAAAUCGCGGUCAAGAUGCCGUGUACCCGCAGCUAGACGGAAAGACCCCGUGAACCUUUACUAUAGCUUGGCACUGGACUCUGAAAUAAUUUGUGUAGGAUAGCUGGGAGGCUUUGAAACUGUGACGCUAGUUGCAGUGGAGCCAACCUUGAAAUACCAGCCUGAUUAUUUUGGGGUUCUAACUUAGGUCCAUUAUCUGGAUCAAGGACAGUGUCUGGUGGGUAGUUUGACUGGGGCGGUCUCCUCCCAAAGAGUAACGGAGGAGCACGAAGGUACGCUAAUCAUGGUCGGAAAUCAUGAGGUUAGUGCAAAGGCAUAAGCGUGCUUGACUGCGAGACUGACAAGUCGAGCAGGUACGAAAGUAGGUCUUAGUGAUCCGGCGAUUCUGUAUGGAAGGGUCGUCGCUCAACGGAUAAAAGGUACUCCGGGGAUAACAGGCUGAUACCGCCCAAGAGUUCACAUCGACGGCGGUGUUUGGCACCUCGAUGUCGGCUCAUCACAUCCUGGGGCUGAAGCCGGUCCCAAGGGUAUGGCUGUUCGCCAUUUAAAGUGGUACGCGAGCUGGGUUUAGAACGUCGUGAGACAGUUCGGUCCCUAUCUGCUGUGGGCGUUGGAGACUUGAGGAGAGCUGCUCCUAGUACGAGAGGACCGGAGUGGACGAACCCCUGGUGUUCCGGUUGUGUCGCCAGACGCAUUGCCGGGUAGCUACGUUCGGACAGGAUAACCGCUGAAAGCAUCUAAGCGGGAAGCCCCCUCCAAGAUUAGGUCUCCCUGAGGGUUUAACCCUCCUGAAGGGCCGUGGAAGACUACCACGUUGAUAGGCUAGGUGUGGAAGCGCUGUGAGGCGUGAAGCUAACUAGUACUAAUUGCCCGUGCGGCUUGACUAU